AGGUCAUUUCAAAGAAGGCUUGUGGGGCUGUGAAGCCAGGAUCUCGUAAUGCUACAACUAAAGACUGAAGUUCUCCAUAGCAUAGCUUAGUCACUCAAUAGUGCUAUGUUUUCUUGAGGAGAUACAAGA